rnacentral:rRNA from 1 species
AUGCUGAUACUGGAGCUCGGGGCUUGCAUCAUCCCAAUGACGCUCAUCUUCGUGCCGGCCCGGCGGCUGGUCCUCCUGGUGGCCAAGCUGCAGGAGCUGGAGGAAUGCUUACGGCGCCCGAGGCCGCUGUCCCCCGGGAUGCCGCAGAUGUCCGCCGAGAUGUACGGCCGCAUGUCGAGCCUGCACACCAUGGCCAUCAUGGUGUGA